rnacentral:tmRNA from 1 species
GGGGAUGUAAAGGUUUCGACGGGGAUGGCGAAGCUUGGUAAGCGAGUAGCGGUGAGGCGCCGCUAUAAAAGCCUCAACCUUAAAAUAACUGACAACACUAAAGUUGCCUUAGCCGCUUAAUGCGGCUCGUCCGCCGGAGAGCACCGCGGCUCCGGAGAGGGCGUCGACAGCGGUUCCUGUGCACGGCCACACGCCUUUAAGCCGUCAUAAACAAAAGGCUACUAACGCGCCGAGCCUGUUAUUGGGCGCCGCGCCGAGGGAAUGUUAAAGCAAUAACUGCACUCGGAGAAAACCUCGUGGAACUGUUUUCGGACGCGGGUUCAAUUCCCGCCAUCUCCACCA